rnacentral:rRNA from 1 species
GAUGAACGCUGGCGGCGUGCCUAAUACAUGCAAGUCGAGCGAACAGACGAGGAGCUUGCUCCUCUGACGUUAGCGGCGGACGGGUGAGUAACACGUGGAUCACCUACCUAUCAGACUGGGAUAACUUCGGGACACCGGCGCUAAUACCGGAUAAUAUAUUGAACCGCAUGGUUCAAUAGUGAAAGACGGUUUUGCUGUCACUAAUAGAUGGAUCCGCGCCGCAUUAGCUAGUUGGUACGGUAACGGCUUACCAAGGCAACUAUGCGUAGCCGACCUGCGAGGGUGAUCGGCCACACGGGAACGUAGACACGGUCCAGACGCCUACGGGAGGCAGCAGUAGGGAAUCUUCCGCAGUAGGCGAAAGCUUGACGGAGCAACGCCACGUGAGUUAUGAAGGUCUUCGGAGCGUAAAACUCUGUUAUUAGGGAAAAACAAAUUUGUAAGUAACUAUGCACGUCUUGACGGUACCUAAUCAGAAAGCCACGGCUAACUACGUG